rnacentral:rRNA from 1 species
UACGUAGGUGGCAAGCGUUAUCCGGAAUUAUUGGGCGUAAAGCGCGCGCAGGUGGUUUCUUAAGUCUGAUGUGAAAGCCCACGGCUCAACCGUGGAGGGUCAUUGGAAACUGGGAGACUUGAGUGCAGAAGAGGAAAGUGGAAUUCCAUGUGUAGCGGUGAAAUGCGUAGAUAUCAGAAGGAACAUCAGUGGCGAAAGCGGCUUCCUGGUCCAGUACCGACGUUCAGGCACGAAAGCGUGGGGAGCAAACAGG